UAAACUGCAAUCUUGGGUGACAAGACCAGACAGCAGGUGAAAAAAAUCGGGAUGGGGGUGGGGGGAAAUAGGAGCCUAUAUAAGAAAAAGACCC